rnacentral:rRNA from 1 species
UACCGGCGGCUCGAGUGGUGGCCGGUAUUAUUGAGUCUAAGGGUCCGUAGCCGGCUUCGCAAGUCCUUCGGGAAAUCCAGCGGCUUAACCGUUGGUCGUCCGGGGGCUACUACGUUGCUUGGGACUGGGAGAGGCGAGAGGUACUCAGGGGGUAGGAGUGAAAUCCUGUAAUCCUUUGGGGACCACCGGUGGCGAAGGCGUCUCGCCAGAACAGGUCCGACGGUGAGGGACGAAAGCUAGGGGCA